rnacentral:misc_RNA from 1 species
UCCGGUUUGACACCGGCAGUCUCCCGUGAGUCCCCAACCUCCGAAGAGUUGCUGGCAACACGAGACAAGGGUUGCGCUCGUUGCGGGACUUAACCCAACAUCUCACGACACGAGCUGACGACAGCCAUGCACCACCUGUACACCGACCACAAGGGGGACCCUGUCUCCAGGGUUUUCCGGUAUAUGUCAAGCCUUGGUAAGGUUCUUCGCGUUGCAUCGAAUUAAUCCGCAUGCUCCGCCGCUUGUGCGGGCCCCCGUCGAUUCCUUUGAGUUUUAGCCUUGCGGCCGUACUUCCCAGGCGGGGCACUUAAUGCGUUAGCUACGGCACGGAGCCCGUCGAUCGAGCCCCACACCUAGUGCCCAACGUUUACGGCGUGGACUAC